rnacentral:tRNA from 1 species
GGGUGGUUAGCUCAGCGGAAGAGCACUGCCUUCACACGGCAGGGGUCACAGGUUCAAUCCCUGUACCACCCACCA